UUCGUGCCGUUGGACAGUUGAGGACGGUUAAAAAAAUUAGGAAAAAAAGCGGACAGUUGAGCGCUUUCUUUCUCUUUUUUUAUGAAUAAAGUGGACUUGAACAGUUGGCUUUUUUCCCAAACAAAAGGUCAGUGGUCCAGUGAAGGUCAGAUGAGGAAUGAAUGGGGCAACACAUCAGAACAGCCAGAGACCUCACUACCUUCAGCACUGGAGAAGGAAAACUCCCCACCUGUGGUUCACCUGUGGUUACCGGCACAUAUAAGAAGACCCCUAUACAAGCCACCAAUGCCAAUAUGCAUGUGUAUGUUCUAACCAUCCUUGAAGACAUUAAGGAGACUCAGAGGGUUCACAGUUGAAUGCUACAGCCUCUCCUGAAACAAUGUGAAGGAUCAGUCGCUGAGGUUUUGUUUUGCCUCUCUGGACUGGCACUGAUGGUAUUAAACUUGUUUCUACA